rnacentral:rRNA from 1 species
CCUACGGGAGGCAGCAGUGGGGAAUAUUGCACAAUGGGCGAAAGCCUGAUGCAGCAACGCCGCGUGAGUGAUGAAGGCCUUCGGGUCGUAAAGCUCUGUCUUUGGGGACGAAAAAAAUGACGGUACCCUUGGAGGAAGCCCCGGCUAACUACGUGCCAGCAGCCGCGGUAAUACGUAGGGGGCAAGCGUUAUCCGGAAUUACUGGGCGUAAAGAGUGCGUAGGUGGUUUUGUAAGCGCGGGGUGAAAGGCUAUGGCUCAACCAUAGUAAGCCUUGCGAACUGUGAGACUUGAGUGCAGGAGAGGGAAGUGGAAUUCCUAGUGUAGCGGUGAAAUGCGUAGAUAUUGGGAAGAACACCAGUGGCGAAGGCGACUUACUGGACUGAAACUGACACUGAGGCUCGAAAGCGUGGGGAGCGAACAGGAUUAGAUACCCGUGUAGUC